UCAUCGACCUCAAAUCAGGUAAGAUUACCCGCUGAAUUUAAGCAUAUUACUAAGCGGAGGAAAAGAAACUAACAAGGAUGCUCUCAGUAACGGCGAGUGAAGCGGGCAAAGCUCAAAUUUAAAAUCAGAGUGUCUUCGGACAUUCGGAAUUGUAGUUUUUGGACUAGUGAUUACUGGUAUCUGCUCGAGUCAAAGUCUGAUGGAAAUCAGCAUCAUGGAGGGUGAUAAUCCCGUUCAUGGCUUGGUGCGUUUGGUAUCACUUGUAUUCACGUGUCUUAGAGUCGGGUUGUUUGGGAAUGCAGCCCUAAAUGGGUGGUAAAUUUCAUCUAAAGCUAAAUAUCGACAAGAGACCGAUAGCGAACAAGUACCGUGAGGGAAAGAUGAAAAGAACUUUGAAAAGAGAGUUAAAAGUACUUGAAAUUGUUAACAGGGAAACGUUUGUGCUCGGAAUACACUUGUAUCUGAAUCAGUCCCAUGAUGAGUUGAUAGGGUUGCUAAGAGGUACUCUCGAGUAUCCUUAGUGAUUUUAUACGGUUUAAAGUGGGGUGCACUUUAGGUAUGAGUGGGCCAAGAUCUAUUUUUUGAUCAUAGAAAAGAGCUGAAAAAUGGUAGGUUUAUUGCAAACUGAUAUGUUUUUAGUUUCUAUAUGAUAAAAGAGUGAUACUGGCGCAUAACGAGUAUAAAUGACCCGUCUUGAAACACGGACCAAGGAGUCUAACAUAUGUGCGAGUUUUAUGGUGUUGAAACCAUAGAAGCGUAAUGAAAGUAAAGACAGUUAAUUGGAACUGUUGAGGUAGGAAGGGAUUUAUUCCUUGCACUAUCGACCGAUCUGGAUCAU
rnacentral:rRNA from 1 species